rnacentral:rRNA from 1 species
GGACCGGAGAGGGAGCCUGAGAAACGGCUACCACAUCCAAGGAAGGCAGCAGGCGCGCAAAUUACCCAAUCCCGAUACGGGGAGGUAGUGACAAUAAAUACUGAUACAGGGCUCUUUUGGGUCUUGUAAUUGGAAUGAGAACAAUCUAAAUCCCUUAACGAGGAACAAUUGGAGGGCAAGUCUGGUGCCAGCAGCCGCGGUAAUUCCAGCUCCAAUAGCGUAUAUUAAAGUUGUUGCAGUUAAAAAGCUCGUAGUUGAACCUUGGGCCCGUCCUGCCGGUCCGCCUCACCGCGAGUACUGGUCCGGAUGGGCCUUUCUUUCUGGGGAAUCCCAUGGCCUUCACUGGCUGUGGCGGGGAACCAGGACUUUUACUGUGAAAAAAUUAGAGUGUUCAAAGCAGGCCUUUGCUCGGAUACAUUAGCAUGGAAUAAUAGAAUAGGACGUGCGGUUCUAUUUUGUUGGUUUCUAGGACCGCCGUAAUGAUUAAUAGGGAUAGUCGGGGGCGUCAUUAUUCAGCUGUCAGAGGUGAUAUGCUUGAUUUUCCAGGGCCU